UCUUUCAGCAAUAUCUUUCCCCUAGGAGAGCAGCACCAUCAAGAGAGUCAGGAAGUGAAUUCUGUAAAGUCAUCCAGCUCCUGGUCCCACCAACCUGUGAUAGGGGAAUAGAAAUAAUCUGAAUUAGGGCUGACUACUGCAAGGAAUGGAUGGAUGGAUCGAUGGAUGAUAAAUAGAUGGAUGGAUGAAUGGAUGGACAAGACAGAGGCAAGAAAGGCUACUUACUUCCUGGAUGUCUUCUGACCCCCAGCUUCCUGAUCUCGUCAUAGACAAAGAUUAGAAUUCCGUACGGGAUUGGAACGAACCACCAUUGGCCCCUGUAAGGGGGAGUUACACGCAUGAACAAACCAACAUGAAAGCCAUCAAAACAAUGACAGAGAAGAUGAAUCGACAUCCAUUCAAGUCAAACAGAGUGUAACAGUACCUAAUGGGCAUGAAGUUGAAAAUGUUUGGCAUCCCUGGGCAGUAGCACAGCAGGUUACCCAGUAACAGCUGGAAGACGAUGGCACUCACUAGCACCUUGUUCCUGCACACAAACAGAAAACACGGAGGAUGGUCAAACAAUGUUUUAUUAGUCCCAUCAAGAUUGAUACUUCAAGAUUGAUACUUCCCAAGUUAUUUUGUUGGAAGCCUUCUCUGCCACCAUCCUUUCAUAAACAAUACAUUUCAUAGAGUAUAUGAUUGUUUGAAGGGAGUAAGAGACAUUUGUUCCAUGCAGUUCACAUCCACUGACCUAAAGAAGCCCUGCUGGAAGAUGGACAGACGGCGGGUUUUCCUGAUCAACACAUCAGCAAUCUGGCAGAUCUCAAUACUGAUGAAGAAGACCGUGUAGCAGGUGUACUGCUGAUACAGACGCUGGGCGUAUGUCUGCAGAACAGAGAAGACAGGAGAUUUUCAACUGGCAUUUCCAGGAGUUACACGCUCCCCAAGUCCAUGUAUGCGGUCUGGAAGGCCUCUCUCCACUGUUCAUCCAGGGGCAUCUCCUGGCCCUUGAUCAGGAUGGUGGAACAGCGCUCCAAGAUCCUCUCUGGCGCCCCCUUCAUCACCAGCAGGUAGCGCAGGUCCAUGGGGUCUUCCAACUCAUGCACUGACAGCUACUCGCCACCGGUGGGAGAAAGAGUACGAUUCAAACACAAAUAGCUCAUUCUGGUAAUGCCAUUAAAGUAUGCCUAAUAGUCACAUGACACACCUAUACAACAUACUGUAGAUUAUAUAACACACUUUCAACUGCCUUGAAAUCAGAUCAGAAAACCAGGCCUCUUACCUGGAACUUGUUGGUGGAGUUGAAUGGUACUUCAACAACCUUUUUGAAGCGUUCCCUGUAUUCCAUCAUGUUCCCUAUGGCCAGCUCAGUGAACUUCAGCAGAGCCGUCUCUGAGGCGUCGCCCACCACUAUUCUCUGUUGCACAUAGGUGCAUUGGAAUAAAGGUAACUCAUAAAUCAUAUAGUUUUCAUUGAUGCUGUGUCUGUGAAUGAAUGUGUCUGUUGAGGCUGGUGUCUAUCAGCUCACCCUAGGAAUAGGCAGAG